UAUCUGGGUGAUCCUGCCAGUAGUCAUAUGCUUGUCUCAAAGAUUAAUCCAUGCAUGUCUAAGUAUAAACAUUUAUACUGUGAAACUGCGAAUGGCUCAUUAAAUCAGUUAUAGUUUAUUUGAUGUUACUUUACCUACAAGGAUAACUUAGGUAAUUCUUAAGCUAAUACUUGCACACAAGCCUCAACUUUCGCGGAAGAGGUGUAUUUAUUAGAUACAAAACCAGUGGGCGUUUCGGCGUCCCUAGGUGAAUCAUGAUAACUUGUCGAACCGCAUGGCCUUGCGCCGGCGGUGCUUCAUUCAAAUACCUGCCCUAUCAAGUUUCGAUGGUAGGAUAGAGGCCUACCAUGCUAGCAACGGGUAACGGGGAAUAAGGGUUCGAUUCCGGAGAGAGAGCCUGAGAAACGGCUCUCAUGUCUAAGGACAGCAGCAGGAGCGCAAAUUGCCCAAUCCCGACACGGGGAGGCAGUGACGAUAUAUAACAAUCUAGGGCUCUUUCGAGUCUUAGAAUUGGAAUGAGUACAAUUUAAACACCUUAACGAGAACCAAUUGGAGGGCAAGUCUGGUGCCAGCAGCCGCGGUAAUUCCAGCUCCAAUAGCGUAUAUUAAAAUUGUUGCCGUUAAAAAGCUCGUAGUCGAACUUCGGCCUCUUCGCUGGCCGGUCCGCUUUUUUAUGAGUGAGUACUGGAUCCAGUGGAGGCCUUUCUUUUCUCUGGUGGGCUGAUGCUACCGUUUAUUCGGUUGGUGUCAAUUGCAUAACCAGGGGUUUUACUUUGAAAAAAUCAGAGUGUUCAAAGCAGGCAUGAUUUGCCCGAAUACAUUAGCAUGGAAUAAUAGAAUAGGACGUGCGGUCCUGUUUUUGUUGGUUUCUAGGAUCGCCGUAAUGAUGAAUAGGGGCGGUUGGGGGCAUUUGUAUUCCGUUGCUAGAGGUGAAAUUCUUGGAUUUACGGAAGACAAACUACUGCGAAAGCAUUUGCCAAGGACGCUUUCAUUGAUCAAGAACGAAGGUCAGGGGAUCGAAAACGAUUAGACACCGUUGUAGUCUUGACAGUAAACGAUGCCGACUAGGGAUCGGGCAAGUUUUUUUUUACAAUGACUUGCUCGGCACCUGAAGAGAAAUCUUUGAGUAAGGUUCGGGGGGGAGUAUGGUCGCAAGGCUGAAACUUAAAGGAAUUGACGGAAGGGCACCACAAGGGGUGGAGCCUGCGGCUUAAUUUGACUCAACACGGGGAAACUCACCAGGUCCAGACAUGAAAAGGAUUGACAGAUUGAUAGCUCUUUCUUGAUCUCAUGGUUGGUGGUGCAUGGCCGUUCUUAGUUGGUGGAGUGAUUUGUCUGGUUAAUUCCGAUAACGAACGAGACCUUAUCCUGCUAAAUAGCCCGUCUGGCCUUGUUUGCUGGGCGCUGGUCUUCUUAGAGGGACUAUCGACGUCUAGUCGAUGGAAGUUUGAGGCAAUAACAGGUCUGUGAUGCCCUUAGAUGUUCUGGGCCGCACGCGCGCUACACUGACAGAGCCAGCGAGUUAUUUAUUUCCUUUGUGGAAUAAAUCCUUGGCCGGAAGGCCUGGGUAAUCUUGUGAAACUCUGUCGUGAUGGGGAUAGAGCAUUGCAAUUAUUGCUCUUCAACGAGGAAUCCCUAGUAAGCGUGAGUCAUCAGCUCGCGUUGAUUACGUCCCUGCCCUUUGUACACACCGCCCGUCGCUACUACCGAUUGAAUGGCUUAGUGAGGCCUUCGGAUUGGCGUCNGUGAGCUGGCAACGGCACGCGGAUGCUGAAAAGUUGUACGAACUUGGUCAUUUAGAGGAAGUAAAAGUCGUAACAAGGUUUCCGUAGGUGAACCUGCGGAAGGAUCAUUA
rnacentral:rRNA from 1 species